rnacentral:tRNA from 1 species
AGUCGGGUGGCCGAAUUUAGGCAUUAAAUUGUAAAUUUAAUUAUAGAGAUAUCUCCUUACUA